rnacentral:rRNA from 1 species
AUUCCAGCUCCAAUAGCGUAUAUUAAAGUUGUUACAGUUAAAAAGCUCGUAGUUGGAUUCCUGGUUCGAGCGGCCGGUCUGGUCCGAGUGGGCCAGUACUUUGCGCUGUUUCUGACCUUGUUUGGGGAGAAUCUGUGUGGCGCUUCAUUGUGUCGUGCAGGGGACCCCCAUCGUUUACUGUGAAAAAAUUAGAGUGUUCAAAGCAGGCAUUUGCUGUGAAUAUAUUAGCAUGGAAUAAUAAGAUAGGACUUUGGUGCUAUUUUGUUGGUUUGCACACCAAGGUAAUGAUUAACAGGGACAGUUGGGGGUAUUCGUAUUUAAUUGUCAGAGGUGAAAUUCAUGGAUUUAUGAAAGACGAACUACUGCGAAAGCAUUUACCAAGGAUGUUUUCAUCA